rfam:Vitis vinifera, whole genome shotgun sequence of line PN40024, unoriented chromosome 10, chr10
UGCAAUCUAUGAUGCAAACUCUUUAUUUCUGAUUCACUAAUGAUUAUUCAAUAACAUUAUCACCAUCUUUCGGCUGAGAUUGCA